AUCAUUUCCCCGACUUGGGCACUAGCAAGACAGACACUUCCACUUCUCACCACUCCAUCACCCAACACACUAGUUAGGGAGGCGGGCAGAGACACACGCUGGACAGUCCUAUUACAUUUCUGGGCAUGGCUCAGGUGUGCAGUGACUUGAAUGCAGGGGUAUGUAAUCUCACGGCAUGCAGGGCACUGCACAUCUGCUCCAUCUGCUUCAGAGCCCACACCAAGUCUACUUGCCC